rnacentral:rRNA from 1 species
GACGAACGCUGGCGGCGUGCUUAACACAUGCAAGUCGAACGGAAAGGCCCUGCUUGCAGGGUACUCGAGUGGCGAACGGGUGAGUAACACGUGGGUGAUCUGCCCUGCACUUCGGGAUAAGCUUGGGAAACUGGGUCUAAUACCGGAUAGGAACCAUCUUUAGUGUGGUGGUUGGAAAGUUUUUUCGGUGUAGGAUGAGCUCGCGGCCUAUCAGCUUGUUGGUGGGGUAAUGGCCUACCAAGGCGGCGACGGGUAGCCGGCCUGAGAGGGUGUACGGCCACAUUGGGACUGAGAGACGGCCCAGACUCCUACGGGAGGCAGCAGUGGGGAAUAUUGCACAAGGGGCGCAAGCCUGAUGCAGCGACGCCGCGGGGGGGAUGAAGGCCUUCGGGUUGUAAACUCCUUUCGCUAGGGACGAAGCUUUUUGUGACGGUACCUAGAUAAGAAGCACCGGCUAACUACGUG